rnacentral:rRNA from 1 species
AGUGAACGCUGGCGGUAGGCCUAACACAUGCAAGUCGAACGGCAGCACAGUAAGAGCUUGCUCUUACGGGUGGCGAGUGGCGGACGGGUGAGGAAUACAUCGGAAUCUACUUUUUCGUGGGGGAUAACGUAGGGAAACUUACGCUAAUACCGCAUACGACCUACGGGUGAAAGCAGGGGAUCUUCGGACCUUGCGCGAUUGAAUGAGCCGAUGUCGGAUUAGCUAGUUGGCGGGGUAAAGGCCCACCAAGGCGACGAUCCGUAGCUGGUCUGAGAGGAUGAUCAGCCACACUGGAACUGAGACACGGUCCAGACUCCUACGGGAGGCGGCAGUGGGGAAUAUUGGACAAUGGGCGCAAGCCUGAUCCAGCCAUACCGCGUGGGUGAAGAAGGCCUUCGGGUUGUAAAGCCCUUUUGUUGGGAAAGAAAAGCAGCAGGUUAAUACCGCGCUGUUCUGACGGUACCCAAAGAAUAAGCACCGGCUAACUUCGUG